rnacentral:rRNA from 1 species
AACGAACGUUGGCGGCGUGGAUUAGGCAUGCAAGUCGUGCGUGAAAGGGGGCUUCGGUCCCUGAGUAGAGCGGCGAACGGGUGAGUAACGCGUGGGAAAUCUGCCCUCGGGUGGGGGAUAACACUUCUAACGGAGUGCUAAUACCGCAUAACACUUCUUGGUCGCAUGGCCGGGAAGUCAAAGGUGGCCUUUACUUGUAAGCUAGUGCCUGAGGAUGAUCCCGCGUCCGAUUAGCUUGUUGGUGAGGUAACGGCUCACCAAGGCACCGAUCGGUAGCUGGUCUGAGAGGAUGGUCAGCCACACUGGGACUGAGAUACGGCCCAGACUCCUACGGGUGGCAG